rnacentral:rRNA from 1 species
GGAGGAGGCUCUUGGGUUGUAAACCUCUUUUCUCAGGGAAGAAAACAAUGACGGUACCUGAGGAAUAAGCAUCGGCUAACUCCGUGCCAGCAGCCGCGGUAAUACGGAGGAUGCAAGCGUUAUCCGGAAUGAUUGGGCGUAAAGCGUCCGCAGGUGGCUGUGUAAGUCUGCUGUCAAAGAGCAAAGCUCAACUUUGUAAAGGCAGUGGAAACUACACGGCUAGAGUGCGUUCGGGGCAGAGGGAAUUCCUGGUGUAGCGGUGAAAUGCGUAGAGAUCAGGAAGAACACCGGUGGCGAAGGCGCUCUGCUAGGCCGCAACUGACACUGAGGGACGAAAGCUAGGGGAGCGAAUGGGAUUAGAUACCCCAGUAGUCCUAGCCGUAAACGAUGGAUACUAGGCGUGGCUUGUAUCGACCCGAGCCGUGCCGUAGCUAACGCGUUAAGUAUCCCGCCUGGGGAGUACGCACGCAAGUGUGAAACUCAAAGGAAUUGACGGGGGCCCGCACAAGCGGUGGAGUAUGUGGUUUAAUUCGAUGCAACGCGAAGAACCUUACCAAGGCUUGACAUGUCGCGAAUCUUCUUGAAAGGGAAGAGUGCCUUCGGGAGCGCGAACACAGGUGGUGCAUGGCUGUCGUCAGCUCGUGUCGUGAGAUGUUGGGUUAAGUCCCGCAACGAGCGCAACCCUCGUUUUUAGUUGCCAGCACUUAGGGUGGGCACUCUAGAGAGACUGCCGGUGACAAACCGGAGGAAGGUGGGGGAUGACGUCAAGUCAGCAUGCCCCUUACGCCUUGGGCUACACACGUACUACAAUGCUCCGGACAGAGGGCAGCAAGCUAGCGAUAGCAAGCUAAUCCCAUAAACCGGAGCUCAGUUCAGAUCGCAGGCUGCAACUCGCCUGCGUGAAAGGAGGAAUCGCUAGUAAUUGCAGGUCAGCAUACUGCAGUGAAUUCGUUCCCGGGCCUUGUACACACCGCCCGUCACACCAUGGAAAGCUGGUAGUGCCCGAAGUCAUUACUCCAACCUUUUCGGGGGGGGGAGGAAUGCCCUAAAGGCAAGAACUGGUGGACUGGGGGUGAAGAUCCUAACAAAGGGAACCCCUACCCCGAAGAGGGGUGGGUUGGGAAACCCCUCCUUUUUUUUGGGGAAACC